rnacentral:rRNA from 1 species
CGUUGUGUCUCGCAUAUGGCUUGUCUAGCGAUUGUGCGUCCGUGAUCCGUCGAGGGUUUUGGGAGCGGGGGGAACGCCGCCGGUAGUCGAUGGGGGGAGAGGCGGCGGCGUUUUGGGGGUAGUCGUUUCGGCGGCGUUUUGGGAGUAGUGGUACCGAGGCCCCCUGUGGCCGCAGCUCGUCGGCGCAUUCCGCGUAGCGCACCGGUUCAGCCCGCGCUUCCGCGCCUUCUCCUUCCCGUUUCCGCGGCGGCCGCUGCUACUUCCCCCGCUCUCCUUCUUGGGGUUCCGAAAACGGAAGGCAAGUCGUUGUUUCCGCUUCGCCGAUGUUAGAGCCAGUCGUCUUUAACUUGUUGCAGCAGAGGUACACGGUUAGUACCUAGCGAGUUAACCCCUUGGUGGAGGAAAACAACAACAUCAGGUUCCUGGAGGCGUCCAACCUUUCAGCGACGACUAUUUUACAGAUCAUUUCGUGAUGUGAUUUGUUUUGAACAGUCUACAGGCACCAGGGUAGUGCCAACAUAGUCCAUUUUCGUCCUCCCACGUCAAGAACCUCACAGGUUCACUAUAGUUACCUUACUAGCUACGCCGAUUUUAUCGUCUAGAACGAGACGACGAAUAACUACCAUCGAUACCUAAACUCUACCUAUGUAAGCUCAAGGAAUUAUAGUACGUUCACGUACCUAAGGGGUUCCAUUACCCUCACGAAUGUGUAGAACUAGUUAAAUUUCUACAUUUCUUUGAGUCCUUUUGAUUCGUCGCGGAAUUCGUAGCUAAGACCCGACUCUAUUUCCUCCCUCGCUUUGACAAGAUGAAUAGACCAGAGUAAGUACCUUUUAUGUGUUUUUCUCUUCAGGUAUUAGAACGUUCCAAAUAUAGACAAUAGUUCGGGUAGGGAAACUCAACCGCUUACCGUGUAGGAAUGAACAAUCGUCUAUCUAAGCUUCUACAUUGAAGCAGUCUUUCACACGCGAACUUAUCCUUUACACUGUCUUUUUAUUGCGACAUACCAAUGGAAGCACCUACAUUGUACUUUUCUCCCUGGUUCCACGUAUAGUGUCCUCGUCCACUAAAGUCGAACAGACCACACUGUUCAAACCGACUAGGGACGGGAAACGGUAGCCGACGUUUCUUCGCUCCUGAUGCACUGUUCCUCUUCGACAAGAUACGGGGUUACAGACCAGAACCCCUAGAGGACAUACUGUUCCUACGCCACAUGUAGUUGUAGUUACUAGUAGAACAAGUCAAAAGUUUGUGACUACUGUUGUUACGUAGAUUCUUUGUUCCCUUUCCAUUACUACAGCCACACCGAGAUCAUUUUUGAGAAGUCUUGUGGUUUAUGAGGGAACUACUCUUCAAUCUAGUCUCAAAAUAUUUAAAGAAGCCGUCUGCCGGACGACGAGUCAGGCUUCUGUCACUGUACUGUCCAUGGGACCUCUCGUUACCCGUGAGAAGAAGACUCACGAGAUCACUAUCACUUCCACUGUUACUACUACUGUAAGUCGGUUCACUAGUACCGCAACUGAACUCUCUUCUUCACCUUAAAACGUUACCUUCUUACUCCGCUUUUCGACACAGUCGAUUAAAAGUUCUACAACUACUACUACUACUCCCAAGACUAUUGCUUCUACUAUCAGUAUUACUUCUAAGACUGCUACUGGUGGAUAGACUUCCAAGAAAUAGUAGUCUACCAUCACCUCUUCGAGAACUAAGUCUACUACCUUGACUUUUGUGAAGCUUCACCUUUUUUAGAAAUGAACGAUCUUGUGACCGGUCUGCCUCACGGUCAGAUUACGUUGAACAUAUACCCGUUCGAAGUCGUCUUGAUCUGUUACUAUCGCCGCUUCUUCCAUCGAGACUACUUCUUUAAAAACAUGGUUUUCCUGUUUUUUUCGUUCAUUUCUUACUUAAUGGUUCGAAACUACUAUAACUACGACUCCUAACGAGAUUCAAGAACUUUCACCUCGAUGCACUAACCAGAUUGCUUCUAGAGUAGUUUUCGUGAGCACUGGCAAAACACUGACCUCUAACCAGUUUUCGAAGAGACUCUCCUGCGCUCCAUCUACUUUUACCUCUCCCACUACUUCUUUAGCUACCACUAAAACUUCUAGACCUUUGACCACUCCACGUGUUCUCGGUCCGACGACUUUCACGUCGACCCUUCGGUCCACAAGUGUUUCUUCUGCUUGAUUUUCAACUUCUUGAUUCUGAGUUCUUCGAACGCGAAUUUCGUUUUAAACUAAGUCUUAUACUACCUAGCCUGGAGAGACCGCUCCUUCAACUAUUGCUCUUCUUCUUUAGCUUUUCUCUCGUUAGACUGCGUCCCCCGAUAAAACUGUUUAACUUCCUCCUUUAACUUGAGGCGUUCGUUUACUUAUAUAGACUUGAGUUACUAGACCUACUCCUAUGGGCUCAUCUUUAACUUCCUAAAUCCUGACCAUGAAUGCAGUCUAAUCUCUAUGUACCACACGGCAUACUCGAUCAACUCGUAAAACUAGGAACGGUGGGGUAAGAACAACCACCAUAACCGGAGCCACUCCUCUUGUGACCUAUAUACGUCCAAUCGAACUUCGCGGUGUCUACCGUAUCCUUUCACAACUUCUGUUUUCUGGGUUAACAACAGAGAUAACCAACCUCUGCAAAGGUUUGUUGCGGACAUAUACGUUAUCUCCUAGCUUUACCGGCCGUGGCGUACGAGUUCAUGUGUGGUCUCGUAUACGUAACGAAACGAUACAAAACCCCCGGUGACCGAGGUGGUUUUUCGCCACAUGAUCGUCAGGUCUCAGAAAGGUCGUUAUUCCAUGGUAAAUCUUAAUGACGUUGACCAACCCAAGUCCUUAAGUUGUUAUGACGGGCUUAAUACUUCUUCUAGUUCGAGUGUCCGCGUGGUACGUUCUAUAAAUUCUUUUGACGGAAUUAAUUUCCCUACAAGUGUAGACUAAAUCUCCAACGAUCCAAACUUCCACGUCGUUAAGCCUGUCAUUCACCUUAGGCUCCUGUUCAAUUCUUCCGUCGUUUCUAGCUUGGUCCUCUACGUAAUUCCUCUUUUCCCCUUUUAUGCCUUCCGUAACGCUCCACGUGUAAACUCCUGUUUCAAGAAUACUCACUAUAACAGAAGUACGCUCGUACCUAGUUGCAACUUCAAGGGUGGAUGACAUUAGAACACUGGUGAAGAGAAGUUGGGGCUCUAGUCUACACCGUUCCGUACUCUUGGUGACGACUCAACGCCUUCCGUGUGUUGUAUGGAUAAGGUGUGUUGUUUCUGAGCCAAAUGUUCCCAUAACUCGCCUUUCACGCCUUCAAGUUGCGGUAUCUCCAGGGAUCUUUUGACGUUGGAAACGAAGGAAAAUUUAGUUUCGGCUUCCUAUCUGGAUUCCCGUUCUUUCCUAGUCGACACCUGUACUAUGGUCUCUAAUACUUAUAACCGCUCUUCUUCUAUGUACCUCGAGAAGUUGUCAACGUAGACAAUUUCGUACUUUUCUGCUCCUUCCUCUUUUAGUUCGCGCCCGACGUCUUCUUUCGAGUGCUCCGCGUCUUUCGGUUCUGCCUACUCUAUUGCUCCUUCGCCGUCUCCCUUCUAUCCGCACUCUCUAUGUCCCUUCUUCUAUUCUUUUUCUUCGCGCGGGCUUUCAUCCGCGCCUUCUAUGUUCCCCAGAAACAGACGUGCGGGCAAGGGUACUGUAUCUUCGUAGUCGGUCUCCCGUGACAGAGAAUGGGUUCUGUACAAUGAGGUGACCGUGCCGACCGUCAUCUGCUGAGUACUUGGAGAUCAUCGCUAGAUCAACUUCUACGUACACUAUAACGAUCAGUGGGCGUUUUUCAAUACCGGUCACUGUGGUACAAGUGGCUAUUCACACAUGGAGGCACUUAAAACAGCGGGAAUGCUCACUGAUCGACCCUAGCAUACAACUUAACAGUUCAACUCUCUGUCUUGUCAACCGGUUAAAACAAAGCAGUCCAAAACAUUGCCACCUCGAAACUCUCAACAACUGUAACCAAGACUAACCGACCACCAAGACAUGUGCACCUGGACGGGAACAUGCAAGAAAACGUACGUUGCAAAUGCAUAUACCGGUAUACCCAAG